UCGCCGUUUUUUAAUAAGACGACGUUUUAGGAUAUUAUAUUCGAAAAAGUUAUACGAGAGUAGUCCGACGGUACGAUAUUGGAGAGACUUUUUUACGGAAAAUUCAAAAGGAUAAUGAUAUGUUUACCGUUGUUCGCGUGUAGGGGAGGUGAAUGUGAAAUCGAGUACCUUUAUAUAAGAAAGUCAAUUCAAACAGACUGUACUCGGUGUUUUAAAAAGAUAAAUUUUAAAAUAUUUAUUGAAAAACACAAGAGACAAUUAUUUAGAGAGAACGAUUAUCUAGACGGAGA